ACACAUGCAAGUCGAGCGGUAUUUCUUCUUCGGAAGAGAGAGAGCGGCGUACGGGUGCGUAACACGUGUGCAACCUACCUUUAUCUGGGGGAUAGCCUUUCGAAAGGAAGAUUAAUACCCCAUAAUAUAAUGAUUGGCAUCAAUUAUUAUUGAAAACUCCGGUGGAUAGAGAUGGGCACGCGCAAGAUUAGAUAGUUGGUGAGGUAACGGCUCACCAAGUCUGUGAUCUUUAGGGGUCCUGAGAGGGAGAUCCCCCACACUGGUACUGAGACACGGACCAGACUCCUACGGGAGGCAGCAGUGAGGAAUAUUGGACAAUGGGUGAGAGCCUGAUCCAGCCAUCCCGCGUGAAGGAUGACGGUCCUAUGGAUUGUAAACUUCUUUUGUACAGGGAUAACCUACUCUCGUGAGGGUAGCUGAAGGUACUGUACGAAUAAGCACCGGCUAACUCCGUGCCAGCAGCCGCGGUAAUACGGAGGGUGCAAGCGUUAUCCGGAUUUAUUGGGUUUAAAGGGUCCGUAGGCGGACCCGUAAGUCAGUGGUGAAAUCUCAUAGCUUAACUAUGAAACUGCCAUUGAUACUGCGGGUCUUGAGUAAAUUUGAAGUGGCUGGAAUAAGUAGUGUAGCGGUGAAAUGCAUAGAUAUUACUUAGAACACCAAUUGCGAAGGCAGGUCACUAAGAUUUAACUGACGCUGAUGGACGAAAGCGUGGGUAGCGAACAGGAUUAGAUACCCUGGUAGUCCACGCCGUAAACGAUGCUAACUCGUUUUUGGAUUUUCGGAUUCAGAGACCAAGCGAAAGUGAUAAGUUAGCCACCUGGGGAGUACGUCCGCAAGGAUGAAACUCAAAGGAAUUGACGG
rnacentral:rRNA from 1 species